AUAUGAAAAUAUGUUAUAUUUACACACAAUUUUUUCGUUAAGACUCAAUGUAGUAUUUUCCCAAGAUAUCUCUGUCACUGCAGAAUUGGGCAGAAUCAAGCCCAUUUGAUCCAUAGAAUAACUGGGCCAUGGACAAGGGUUAGGUCAUAGAGUUAAAGAAAAUACAAAUUGGAGAAUUCCAGAAUUUAGAAGAGGGAUACAGAUGUUACUAAGGAAAGAAUUCUAGGAUAUAAGAACUAAACACUGGUCCUUAUAGGAUCAGCUACACAAGCAGCAGGGGUGUCUCUUGGUUCAUAAGAGAUGGUUUAUAAAUAACACCUACUAUUUUGAACAGAAAAUUUCAAGAGGCAACCCAAUUCCGUCAUUCCAACUGGAAGAAGUAUGGGGACAGAAACAGGAUCUAACACACAUUUGCAAAAAAGCAUGCUGUAUAAAAUGGACUGAAAACAGACAGAAGUGGAAACAGGGAGUCCUGGUCUUCUAAAGUUGAGGCCAGCAUGCUGAAGAAAAAUAUUAAACUAUGUAUAACCCUGUGUCAACAUAUGAUGCUACUGGGAAUGAACAGGAUUUUGAAAAGACAGAAAAAAGAAGAGAAUGGAUGGGAGAACGAAACCAUGUCCUUCUAGAUCAGAACGAAAUCAAUCCUGCCACCCACAUCUGUGCUGCUUAACUACACUCGUGAGAAGAACACUGAACGCUUUUCGGAAUGGCAAUAGAGUCUACGAGAUGAACGGGCAAGACUUACGGUGACACUCCCUCCUUAGAAAACACACACACACACACACACACACACACACACACACACACA